UGCUGCCGUGCUAUCCUGCCACGAGAAGAGUCACCCACGCCCAUCCCUCCGUGCCCCACGGUCUUAUCCUCCCUAGUGUUUUCCUCAUCCUUUUCCCUUCCUUCUCCUCUGCUCGAGCCGGUCCCAACUCCAGAACCCGGCCACCACUCGAUCCCCCAUUCGGUCAGCCGAGUCCCUCGCCGGAGAAGUUUUCCCCAGCGACACAGAGCCACCAUAGGCGCCGCCAUGGAUCUCAACGUCGAAUCACACCUUCCGACUACCGUUUCCUUCGUCCAACGGCUCAAAUCGAACCUAGGUGUAAUUGCUGCUGGUUGGAGCUAAUCAGGAUUCACGUCGGUGGGCUCAAUGUGACAUCCUCACACCGUAGUUAUCGUUGUUUUCAAACUGAGCUUCCAUUUAAAUUUUCGUUGCUUAUCGAACUCUGAUAUUUUACAUAAACUUGUUUGUAAAACUACGCAUUAUAAAUUAAAUUUGAGGACUUUUGUCUGCUUGUAAUCA